GCCGGGGUGGCCGAGCGGCCUAAGGCGACACCGUAUGGCGCUAGGGGCUGCAGGGGUAUAGCUAGUCACCCGUUAUAUCGCGGGUUCGAAUCCCGCCCCCGGCU
rnacentral:tRNA from 1 species